rnacentral:rRNA from 1 species
GAUGAACGCUGACAGAAUGCUUAACACAUGCAAGUCGAUGGGGAAGUGGUGCUUGCACCAUGGUAAUCAUGGCGGACGGGUGAGUAACGCGUAAGGAACUUGCCUGCGGGACUGGGAUAACAGCAGGAAACUGCUGAUAAUACCGGAUAAGGUCAUUAAGCUGCAUAGCUUAGUGAUGAAAGGAGACGCCUGCGGAGAGCCUUGCGUCCUAUUAGCUAGUUGGAGGGGUAACGGCCCACCAAGGCGAAGAUAGGUAGCCGGCCUGAGAGGGUGGACGGCCACAAGGGGACUGAGAUACGGCCCUUACUCCUACGGGAGGCAGCAGUGGGGAAUAUUGGACAAUGGGGGCAACCCUGAUCCAGCAAUUCUGUGUGCACGAAGACGGUUUUCGGAUUGUAAAGUGCUUUCAGCAGGGAAGAAGGAAGUGACGGUACCUGCAGAAGAAGCGACGGCUAAAUACGUG